CUGGGGGGGUUUGGUGCAGGAGCUGGUGCAUGAUGAUGAUGCUUGUGCUUGUGUUUUCUUUUCAUCUUGUGUUUUCCAGGAGCUGGUGCUGGGGAAGGCACUAAUGAUGGUGAGGGGGCUGGUGGUGGAAUAGCUGGUGCUGGCACAGGUGCCGGUGGUGGUGUUGCUGGUGCGGGUGCAGGUACUUCCUUAGCUGGAGCUGGUGCUGGUGGUGGUGUUGCUGGAGCUGGUGCUGGAGACACUUGUGGUGGCGGUGUAGCUGGUGGUGGUAUUGGAGUGGCAGCUGGAGAACUUUGUGGUGGUUGUGGUGGUGGAACUACUGGGGUGGUAGCUGGUGCGACUUUAGGAGAUGGUGAUGAUAUAGGAGUGGUUGCAGUUGGGGGUGUCACUGCACUUGCUGGUGAUUGUGUUGGA
rnacentral:lncRNA from 1 species